GACGGACGCUGGCGGCGUGCCUAAUACAUGCAAGUUGAGCGCUGAAGGUUGGUACUUGUACCAACUGGAUGAGCAGCGAACGGGUGAGUAACGCGUGGGGAAUCUGCCUUUGAGCGGGGGACAACAUUUGGAAACGAAUGCUAAUACCGCAUAAAAACUUUAAACACAAGUUUUAAGUUUGAAAGAUGCAAUUGCAUCACUCAAAGAUGAUCCCGCGUUGUAUUAGCUAGUUGGUGAGGUAAAGGCUCACCAAGGCGAUGAUACAUAGCCGACCUGAGAGGGUGAUCGGCCACAUUGGGACUGGGACACGGCCCAAACUCCUACGGGAGGCAGCAGUAGGGAAUCUUCGGCAAUGGACGAAAGUCUGACCGAGCAACGCCGCGUGAGUGAAGAAGGUUUUCGGAUCGUAAAACUCUGUUGGUAGAGAAGAACGUUGGUGAGAGUGGAAAGCUCAUCAAGUGACGGUAACUACCCAGAAAGGGACGGCUAACUACGUG
rnacentral:rRNA from 1 species